AUUUAUAUGUUUCCGCUGAGCUCUAUAUAUGUCAACUGAAGCACUAUGCAUAAAAAACACAUUAACUGAUCAAAUUGGUCUUAGCCAUCUCAUCUCAAAGCACGAAAUGUUCUGUUUUGAGAAAACCGUAUUUAAAACAUUUAAACCUUUGCUUGAAUAUCUUAUAUUUCGAAAAACAGUAUAAACUGUACGGUCUAAAUUUAGUUUGCACGGUCUAAAUUUAGUUUGCACGAAAGUUGUAAACAACACCAUAUAAGGAUAGACAUUCCAUAUUUGGAAAAACGAAUGUUAUGGGGCAGAAUUCAAAAUUGUAUAUCAUCAGUGCAGGCUCUCAUUUCACCUUGAGAGCCGGCAUAUUGUAAACACUGGACUGGACUUUGGACUGGACUUUUGACUUUGGACUCAUGGACUUUGGACUACGGACUUUGGACUUUCGAUUUUGAAAUUGUAUUAUUUUUUAGAUUUUCGUAUAAUUAUAUUAAAAUUUAAACAGAGAACGAAAAUUUGCUGCUGAAAAGCGUGCUACACUGCAUGCACAUGCAUGAUAUAAUAUACAAGGUAAAAAAUACUCCGUAUCAGUUAUAUAGGUAUACCAGCAGUGCAAUUUCAUACGGAUAUAGCCUGUAGGAUAGCAGGAUUAUCCAAUAUUUUGGGACUUAAUAUUUAAAUUUUAUAUACUAUUUGUAUUUAUAGUAUGCAUAGUACAGUUUAGACUGCAGAACUUCUUUAUCAUAUAGAUAAUAGAUUAAUUGUCAGAAACAAUUGUGACAAAAGCGUCUCGGCAAAUACAAAAUAUUAACUAUACAAGUGAUUAUUAUUGCGCCUAUUGAGUAUUGACUAUUGUAUUAUGUAUCUAUUGACUGUUCAUCUUUGCUUAAUAGUUUAUACUGGUACUGUCUUGUGUAAUUGUUUACUCCGUUACACAGUAACGUUUUGUUAAUGUUACUUAUUUUUGAAAGACAUUCUAGUUAGCUAUUCUUAUCACUAAGACUAAGUGCUUCAGUUAUUAUUAAUAAGUGUUAGUAGAUGGACAGGAAUAUUCGAACGGAAAUUUACACACUUUUUAAGACCUACUCAGUUGUAUGUGAGAAGGCAAAAAUCUAUGUCUAUGUGCUUCAGGUAGUCUAGCAACUAUUUGCCACGUAGUAUAAAGAUUAAUUCUCAGCCGCAUAAUGUACGCAAAAGAGCCAUAUAUAGACAAUAAUAUAGUGACAUAAAU